rnacentral:misc_RNA from 1 species
UUAGCGUUUUUUUUUUUUUAAUUUAAAAACCUCACUGUGGAUCAUCUUGAAUCAAGUUUAGUUGAAUUAUGAAUGCUGUUUCCAAAUGAAUGUUCUUAACGUUUGCCUCUAAUAUUAGACAUUAAUAUUUUGCUAACUGUAUAUAAAUGUAUAAUUUAACUAUAUUCUGAUCAGAAUGAGAUUGCAAAACUCUCAUAUAUUUCUUUACAAGCCAUGCUUAACAUUAGGCAAAAGAUUUCACUAUAAUCCAAAUCUAUGCAACUCUUUAAAUGACAGCUCAAGGAUCUCUGUAUUGUGGAAAAAACCCGUUUUUAUAAAUUAUUUUAAACAAAAUGACCCGAAGGUUUCAAUAUUUUUCAGCUCAUUCUUUUUUUUACACUUUAAUGGUAUUCAUAGUUAUAAACUAUUUAACUUAAUAGUUUUUAAUGAAUUGAAAAAACUCCAUAGAGAAAUUCAUCGUAUAACAUGCUAUAGUAGCUUUAUUUGUAAUUAUGUUAAAAAGAAUCAAAGAAGUUCGAACUUUAUUGAUCCUGGUUUGCCAAGUGAAUCCCAACUUUAUGAAUUAAUGAAUUAUUUUGUUGAAAAAGCACCAAAACUAUUUUCUGAUCAGGGAUGGACCUAUGAUAAAUGCAGUGAAAAAAUUAUCUUCCAAAAUAUGAUGUUUUUUAUAGAAACUUCAACUAAAAGAAGUUAUAUUGCUCAAAUAAAUAUUCUUAAAAUGAUUAUGAAAUCUAUAUUUGAAAAACCUGAACUUAGUGUAGUGAGAAUAACCAAAAAUAGCCAAGAUGGUACAAUUCAUAUACGCUGGCAAAUUCAAGGAAUUCCAUGGUGGCUGAAGGUAUUGACAAUUCUAAAUGAUAAUCAUAGCCAAUACAUGAGAUAUAUCGAUGGAUUUUCGGUGUUUUAUAUAAAGAGUGAUGGCUUAUAUCACAAACAUAUCUUGAUGAAGAUGACACCAUUGCGUAAUGAAAAUAAAGAAAGUACAUUAUCAAGUUUUUUGACCAAAAUAGGUUAUUUUAGUCCUGACUUAGAACCUUUACCAAAAUCUGCAUCAUUACCUAUUGAAAAUAAAAUGUUAAAGUGAAAUUAAAAUAACAUGCCCAAGAGAAGAAAAAAUAGCUUAUCUGCUAAAGGACUAAAGAAGCAAAAAGAUAUUUCAUCGUCCUCAAAUGAACAAUUUUUAUUAUCUGAACAAUCGUCAUUAAUUGAUCAAUCCUUAUUAGUUGGACAAUCUUCUUCAACUAAUAUAUCAAGUUCAAUUCAUUUGCCAUCAGUUUCUUCUGAUAGAACAAUCAAUGAUUUUUUUUCAAGAAAAUCGAAUAGUUCUGUUAUCGAAGUUAUUGAUGUUGAAAAGUUACCAGAUAGACCACUCUCUCCUGUAAAUUGUGAUGAUGUAAUGGAAAUAAACCCGCCAUCUUUACCUCAUAGUAGAAGCAUGAGAAGUAGACUUAAUGUUGUUGAUCUGACUGACAUUUUUUCUCCUUUAACUCCUCAACCCCUUAAUCCUCAACCAAUAUCUUCUAUUAUUCACACUACUUCUGGUGAUGAAAAUGACAGUGAUGACUGCCUUCCUAAUGUGCUAAAAUCAUUCAUGAAGCGAAAAUCUGAUUCUAUGGAUAAAUCUCCAAAAAAGACGAGUGUAACUUGUUCUGUUUGUUUGGAUAAUUUAGACCAGAUAAGUUCUGAUGGACGCAAACUUACUUCAACAAUUUGUGGUCAUAUUUUUUGUGAUGAAUGUAUAUUAAAAGCCGUCAAGACUAUUCAUAGU